ACUUUUAACAAUGGAUCUCUAGGCUCUCACAUCGAUGAAGAACACAGUGAAAUGUGAUAAGUAAUGUGAAUUGCAGAAUUCAGUGAAUCAUUGAAUCUUUGAACGCACCUUGCGCCUUUUGGUAAUCCAAGAGGUACACCUGUUUGAGUGUCAU
rnacentral:rRNA from 1 species